AGAGUUUGAUCCUGGCUCAGGACGAACGCUGGCGGCACGCUUAACACAUGCAAGUCGAACGAGAGAAGAGGAGCUUGCUUUUCUGAUCUAGUGGCGGACGGGUGAGUAACACGUGAGCAAUCUGCCUUUCAGAGGGGGAUACCGAUUGGAAACGAUCGUUAAUACCGCAUAACAUAAUUGAACCGCAUGAUUUGAUUAUCAAAGAUUUAUCGCUGAAAGAUGAGCUCGCGUCUGAUUAGCUAGUUGGUAAGGUAACGGCUUACCAAGGCGACGAUCAGUAGCCGGACUGAGAGGUUGAUCGGCCACAUUGGGACUGAGACACGGCCCAGACUCCUACGGGAGGCAGCAGUGGGGAAUAUUGCACAAUGGAGGAAACUCUGAUGCAGCGAUGCCGCGUGAGGGAAGAAGGUUUUAGGAUUGUAAACCUCUGUCUUCAGGGACGAAAAAAGACGGUACCUGAGGAGGAAGCUCCGGCUAACUACGUGCAAGCAGCCGCGGUAAUACGUAGGGAGCGAGCGUUGUCCGGAAUUACUGGGUGUAAAGGGAGCGUAGGCGGGAUCGCAAGUCAGAUGUGAAAACUAUGGGCUUAACCCAUAAACUGCAUUUGAAACUGUGGUUCUUGAGUGAAGUAGAGGUAAGCGGAAUUCCUAGUGUAGCGGUGAAAUGCGUAGAUAUUAGGAGGAACAUCAGUGGCGAAGGCGGCUUACUGGGCUUUAACUGACGCUGAGGCUCGAAAGCGUGGGGAGCAAACAGGAUUAGAUUCCCUGGUAGUCCACGCCGUAAACGAUGAUUACUAGGUGUGGGGGGACUGACCCCUUCCGUGCCGCAGCAAACGCAAUAAGUAAUCCACCUGGGGAGUACGACCGCAAGGUUGAAACUCAAAGGAAUUGACGGGGGCCCGCACAAGCAGUGGAGUAUGUGGAUUAAUUCGAAGCAACGCGAAGAACCUUACCAGGUCUUGACAUCGUAUGCAUAGCUCAGAGAUGAGUGAAAUCUCUUCGGAGACAUAUAGACAGGUGGUGCAUGGUUGUCGUCAGCUCGUGUCGUGAGAUGUUGGGUUAAGUCCCGCAACGGGCGCAACCCUUACUGUUAGUUGCUACGCAAGAGCACUCUAGCAGGACUGCCGUUGACAAAACGGAGGAAGGUGGGGAUGACGUCAAAUCAUCAUGCCCCUUAUGACCUGGGCCUCACACGUACUACAAUGGCUGUCAACAGAGGGAAGCAAAGCCGCGAGGUGGAGCGAACCCCUAAAAGCAGUCUUAGUUCGGAUUGUAGGCUGCAACCCGCCUACAUGAAGUCGGAAUUGCUAGUAAUUGCAGAUCAGCAUGCUGCGGUGAAUACGUUCCCGGGCCUUGUACACACCGCCCGUCACGCCAUGGGAGUCGGUAACACCCGAAGCCUGUAGUCUAACCGCAAGGAGGACGCAGUCGAAGGUGGGAUUGAUGACUGGGGUGAAGUCGUAACAAGGUA
rnacentral:rRNA from 1 species